UUUCAUUUACUUGAGUGUUUAAGUCGUUUAAUUAGAGAAAUUUCGAAAUUAGGGUUUCUAAUUGAGAAAUUAGGGUUUUUAAUUGAAAUUGGGGCUUUUUGUACUUAGAUCACAUUUUCACUCAAUUAGAUUCGGUUAAGGCUAGAUUAAAUAGAAUUUAACUACUCAAUCUCUGAGGGACGAUAUUCAGACUUUUAAAAAUCCACUUUAUUACUCGUUAUGAACUGUACACUUGCGGUAGUUUUAAAUCGAAAGAAUUAUUUCGUGAACAGCUAUUCAUAAUAAAUGUUCUCUAAUUCAGUUUCAGGUUAUUCUGCUAAUAUCUCUACUAGCAUCAAUUCAAUUCCAAUGUUAAAUGGCACAAACUUCAGGGCAUGGCAAGAGAACGUUAUGAUUGUUCUCGGAGUCAUGGACCUAGACCUUGCUUUACGGGUCGAUCAACCUGCUGCACUUACUGAUAAGAGUACCUCUGAUGACAAGAGGGAGAUGGAAAAGUGGGAACGAUCGAACCGCAUAAGCUUAAUGGUCAUGAAGCGUGCUAUUCCAGAAGCAUUCCGGGGCACUAUGUCCGAUAAGGUGACUACGGCUAAGGGUUUCCUUGAGAACCUUGAGAAGAGGUUUGCCAAGAAUGAAAAGGCUGAAACAAGUACACUUUUGGCAAAUCUUGUCUCAAUGAGGUAUAAAGGGAAAUGAAACAUUCGGGAGUACAUUAUGGAAAUGUCUCACAUUGCUUCAAAACUAAAGACGCUCAAGUUGGAUUUAUCUGAAGACUUGUUAGUGCACUUGGUUCUGAUAUCCCUUUCGGCACAUUUCAGUCAAUUCAAGGUGAGUUAUAACUGUCAAAAGGACUCAUGGUCCCUUAAUGAGCUCAUCUCACACUGUGUCCAGGAAGAGGAAAGACUGAAGCAUGAAAAGACAGAAAGUGCUCAUUUAGCCACUACCUCUAAGGACAAAAGCAACAAGAAAAGGAAGAUUAAUAAGGAAGCUGCAGGUACAGCACCGCAAAAGAAACAGCAUAAGGAACCAACUGAAGGCGGUUAUUUCUUCUGUGGAGCUGCAGGUCAUAAGAAGAAGAAUUACACCAAUUACCACGCAUGGCGUGUAAAGAAAGGUACUCUUCUUCAUUUGGUUUGUUCUGAGAUUAAUUUAACUUCGGUAUCUAGACAUACAUGGUGGAUAGAUUCUGGUGCAACAACUCACAUCAGUAUGUCUAUGCAGGGUUGCCUGAGUUGCCGAAAAUCAAGUGAUGGGGAAAGAUACAUCUAUGCUGGCGACGGCAAUAGAAUGGAAGUAGAGGCAAUAGGAAAAUUUAGAUUAUUGUUAAAGACUGGAU
rnacentral:lncRNA from 1 species